CUCACUGCAACCUCCGCCUCCUGGGUUCAAACAAUUCUGCCUCAGCCUCCGGAGUAGCUGGGAUUACAGGCGCGCGCCACUAUGCCCGGCUAAUUUUUGUGUUUUUAGUAAAGACGGGGUUUCACCAUGUCGGCCAGGCUGUUCUCGAACUCCUGACCUCGUGAUCCCUCCGUCUCGGCUUCCCAAAGUGCUGGGAUUACGGGCGUGAGCCACCGUGCCCGGCCGCAGCCUUGUUUUGACUGAGUCAGUGGGAGCCAUUACUGUUCCUAAAUGUAAACUGGCGUGACAGGAGUUCCGGGAUUGUCCACAGCACGGUGAUGUGGAAGCCCUGGGGAGAGAAUGAUAAAGAAAGGGGAUGAGGAACAGCUCCACCCGGAAGAGCGGGCUUCCCUAGCAAAUGAAUCUGGAAGGGCGCAGGGGAGGGGGCACGGCGAGUUCAGAUGGACCGAGGCUGGAAGCUGACGCGGACUCUGAUACAACUAUCCAGUCCGCUGCAGGGACCGGUCACUGUGUCACAGCUGGAGUGCAAUGAUGUGAUCUCUGUCUCAGCCCACAGCAGCUUCAACCUCCCAGGCUCAAGUGAUCCUCCUGCCUCAGCUACGCAGUGUAUGGGAUGGUGGCAGCUCACAGCCUCAGGAGAAGUGUUUUGAGUGCCUGUUCCUCUAGGUCCUCGCCCGCCCAGGACAUCACCACUCUUGUUAAUUUCAUUGUGUCUAGGUAGUGAAAAAGUGUAGUUUCUCAUUCUUUCAAAUUGCAUUUCCCAAUUAUUAGAGUUUGAAUCUUUUUGUCUGUUUACUGAUGUUGGAAUUUUUAUUGAGUAUUCAACUCAAUUGAUUACU
rnacentral:lncRNA from 1 species